CAUAUCAGGACUAAGCAAGCACAGUGAGGAGUUCCUUUCAAGUAGUUUACAGAAUGCUAACGUUCGUUAAAUAAUGACAGCAACAGUUGGACUUGGGAGAAAGAGAAGACGAUAUGAAGGCUAAACACAAAGAAAUUGAGAAAGUGAUGAUGUCCCAUUCGUCUACUCCGAAAUUCUGAAUGUCUGCCUUGCCCAAGAUUGCCACCAGCUCCCACUCUCCACUGGCCGCCAGGUAUUGCAUUGAGUUCUGUGUCAUCUCGUCAAAGGACAGAGCAGGACUGACACGGACAUCCUUUACUGAAGGGAUAACAGGUGUUAGUAUUACAGCUAAUUCUGCCCAAUAAAGCCAGAACGCAAGAACUUCGACAACACUGAGGGGGGAAUCCACUAAGAAUAAACUUGCGUGCACUGGAGCCACACACUGGGACUUUUGUUUGACCUAACGUCAUCUAAUAAUGCAUCUGCAUAUCUUCAACUGCUACAGAACAAAGCGGGACUUUGUGGACACAGCCAGGACCGGAAAAUCGCCUUCCUUAGGGUUCAGCUCAAAGAUUCUCUUAAAGAACUAAAUCGGUAGUCUCACGAAACUACAACUUCCUGUUGGCCAGCUGUGGCAUGACAGCACAUGUAAAAUUCGUUAUUGUAAACAAAAGGAAAAUGAUCCUAAAAAACAGACUGUCAAUGACCUAAUCGCAGGACUCUUACCUCUCUUCAUUUCACACUCAAAAAUGCACAGAAUCUAUCUUUAUAUGCAGAUAAGUAUCAAAUCACCCCCACCUAAUGCCUAGUCUGGCUAUAAUCCUGAAAAUGGUGUUAUUAUGACCAUUAAUCAUUUAUUAUUUAUGUUUUAAUAGUUAGUAAACUAACCAUUUAUUGCAAGUAUGAUGUGUUAUUGUGUAUACAUUUGUCAUUUUAUUUGCAGAAAGUUGAUGUAGAUCAUUUCUUGAUAACUCUUAUCGUAUUCAUGUUAUAAAGUUCAUGACUAAAAUAUAAAAAUUUGAGAGCAGGGAAAUGAAAAAGCAUGUGACAAAGAAUGAUAUCACACCCCUGGCCACACCUCUUCUCAAAGGUAACUUCUGAUUGGCUAAAACCUUUUUGGGGUGGUCAGGCAGAAAAGAGUUAAAAGACCAUGUCUUGAGGAACUAAGUUUCAGAAGUUUUGAUAUUUUCUUCUGCAUAAAACACAUCCAAGGAUCCACUUCCAUUCUCAAAUGACUUUUUCCAAAAUCUAUUCAGUCUUCAACCAGAACUCCAGACCAUUGACUCAGCCAAACACUUCCUUCCCAACGUACAAGGAACGUAAAUACAAUCCUCCAGAAUAUUACUAAGCUGGAGCAUUAAGACAUAAUUUCGAAACCUAUUUUAAAUUAAUGGAUAUUUUUAUUUUUAUUUAUUUAUAUAUAUAUAUAUAUAUUAUUUUCUCCCCUUUUUUCUCCCAAUUUGGAAUGCUCAACUCCCACUACUUAGUAGGUCCUUGUGGUGGCGCGUUACUCACCUCAAUCCGGGUGGCAGAGGACAAGUCUCAGUUGACUCCACUUCUGAGACCGUCAAUCCGUGCAUCUUAUCAAGUGGCUCAUUGUGCAUGGCACCACGGAGACUCACAGCACGGGAGGCUCAUGCUACUCUCCGUGUUCCACGGACAACUUAUGUUGAACCCCUAAUCGUGACCAUGAGGAGGUUACCCCAUGUGACUCUACCCUCCCUAGCAACUGGGCCAAUUUGGUUGCUUAGGAGACCUGGCUGGAGUAACUCAUCAUGCCCUGGAUUCAAACUCGCGACUCCAGGGGUGGUAGUCAGCGUCAAUACUCACUGAGCUACCCAGGCCCCUCAAAUUUAUGGAUAUUAAAUGAAUUAAUUUAUGGUUCGUUCAGGACAUGGU